rnacentral:rRNA from 1 species
UAAGGAAUAUUGGUCAAUGGACGCAAGUCUGAACCAGCCAUGCCGCGUGGAGGAUGAAGGCCCUCUGGGUUGUAAACUUCUUUUCUUUGGGACGAAACCUCUAUUUCUAUGGAGACUGACGGUACCAGAGGAAUAAGCACCGGCUAACUCCGUGCCAGCAGCCGCGGUAAUACGGAGGGUGCAAGCGUUAUCCGGAUUCACUGGGUUUAAAGGGAGCGUAGGUGGACUUUUAAGUCAGUGGUGAAAUCUCUGGGCUUAACCCGGAAACUGCCAUUGAUACUAUUAGUCUUGAAUUCUCUGGAGGUAAGCGGAAUAUGUCAUGUAGCGGUGAAAUGCUUAGAUAUGACAUAGAACACCCAUUGCGAAGGCAGCUUACUACGGAGACAUUGACACUGAGGCUCGAAAGCGUGGGGAUCAAACA